AGAUUUGAUCCUGGCUCAGGAUGAACGCUGGCGGCGUGCUUAACACAUGCAAGUCGAACGAAGCACUUUAUUACGAUUUCUUCGGAAUGACGAUUUAGUGACUGAGUGGCGGACGGGUGAGUAACGCGUGGGUAACCUGCCUCAUACAGGGGGAUAACAGUUGGAAACGACUGCUAAUACCGCAUAAGCGCACAGCAUCGCAUGAUGCAGUGUGAAAAACUCCGGUGGUAUGAGAUGGACCCGCGUCUGAUUAGCUAGUUGGUGAGGUAACGGCCCACCAAGGCGACGAUCAGUAGCCGACCUGAGAGGGUGACCGGCCACAUUGGGACUGAGACACGGCCCAGACUCCUACGGGAGGCAGCAGUGGGGAAUAUUGCACAAUGGGGGAAACCCUGAUGCAGCGACGCCGCGUGAACGAAGAAGUAUUUCGGUAUGUAAAGUUCUAUCAGCAGGGAAGAUAAUGACGGUACCUGACUAAGAAGCCCCGGCUAACUACGUGCCAGCAGCCGCGGUAAUACGUAGGGGGCAAGCGUUAUCCGGAUUUACUGGGUGUAAAGGGAGCGCAGGCGGCAGGCCAAGUCUGAUGUGAAAGCCCGGGGCUCAACCCCGGAACUGCAUUGGAAACUGGUCAGCUAGAGUGUCGGAGAGGUAAGUGGAAUUCCUAGUGUAGCGGUGAAACGCGUAGAUAUUA
rnacentral:rRNA from 1 species